rnacentral:rRNA from 1 species
UACGAAGGGGGCUAGCGUUGCUCGGAAUCACUGGGCGUAAAGCGCACGUAGGCGGAUUGCUAAGUCAGGGGUGAAAUCCUGGAGCUCAACUCCAGAACUGCCUUUGAUACUGGCAACCUUGAGUCCGGGAGAGGUGAGUGGAACUGCGAGUGUAGAGGUGAAAUUCGUAGAUAUUCGCGAGAACACCAGUGGCGAAGGCGGCUCACUGGCCCGGUACUGACGCUGAGGUGCGAAAGCGUGGGGAGCAAACAGG